GAUGAACGCUGGCGGCGUGCCUAAUACAUGCAAGUCGAACGAACAGAUGAGGAGCUUGCUCCUCUUACGUUAGCGGCGGACGGGUGAGUAACACGUGGAUAACCUACCUAUUAGACUGGGAUAACUUCUGGAAACCGUAGCUAAUACCGCAUAAUAUAGUUAACCGCAUGGUUCAAUAGUGAAAGACGCUUUUGCUUUCACUUAUGAAUGGAUUCGCGUCGCUUUAGUUAUUUGGGAAGUUAACGCCUUACCAAGGCAACGUUGCUAAGCCGCCCGGAGGGGGUGAUGGCCAACCCUGGAACUGAGACACGGUCAAGACUCCACCGGAAGGCAGCAGAAGGGAAUCUUGCGAAAUGGGCGAAAGCCUGACGGAGAAACGCCGGGUGAGUGAGGAAGGUCUUCGGAUCGUAAGACUCUGUUAAUAGGGAAGAACAAAUGUGGAAGUAAAAAUGCACGCCGUGACGGUACCUAAUCAGAAAGCCACGGCUAACUACGUG
rnacentral:rRNA from 1 species